UCCAGGCAAAGGACACCAAGUGAAUUAGAAAGAGAGGUUAAGAACUUGAGGGUGGCAUUUACUGACCUGUUUUUGAAGCAUAACACUUUCAAAGAAACUGCAAAGCCAUCGAGAUAUUGAUGCAAAGAAUAAAGCUGAGCUUAGAAUAUUAAGAGGUAACUCCUAGUGAGUGGAGAGAAGGCACUUCAACUUGGAUUGCAAGUAAUUGCAAAGAUUAAGGGCUAUGCUGAUGCAGCUCAGGCACCUGAAUUCGUUACAACUGCUCCAGCCCUUGUGAUACCUAAAGCUAUUUCAAAUGUUGGUUUAGAUGCUUCUCAGAUUGAUUACUAUGAAAUAAAUGAAGCGUUUUCUGUAAGAUUUUAGUACUUGUAAUCCCUAUACUGUUCCUGAUUUAGUAAGCAUUUUUUUUCAUUCA